UAACUUCUCUUCAUUUGUAGAUCCACGGAUCCUGGAUCAUUUCCCAGAAACCCGAAGACAAAGCUUAUUUGUGAUCUUACUGAUCUUACUGGAAUGUUUUUAGCAAGGCUGGGAUUUUUCUCCCCAGGUGCCGGCUACACACUUAAACAAGACAUUUUAAGAUUCAACCUUCCGCUUGGUCUCUCCUGGUUUCUUACCAGCAUUCACUCGCUUGCAACAGAGGAUGCCUUACGCAGCGCCUCUUCCUGCCAUCAGCAUGGGGACCAGGCUGCUUUCCUGGGCCUAGAAGUCAUUACACAAAACCCUUCUUUCGUUCAAAACAGAUCCUCACUGUGGAGAACCUUUGGUUCUCAGGUGAAACCGGCGCCUCUGUAAAUAGCUGCUGGGGAAAACUGCUUUCGUGGGUGGAAGCGAGGCUGGUGUGUGAGUUUUAGCAUCAACAACCAUCUGCUCUUGGCUGUGGCAGAGGUUUCCAUGCCGUAUACCCUGCAAUGGAGGAAUUCCCUUUUCAGUCCUGCUGUGAGCAAGAAGAGAGAUCCCAGCAGGGCGUGCUUUGUCAGGAGCAGCUUUUAUUCAUGGAUUGGAUCUCCUUGCUAAUCUAGGUUCUGAUGGAAAAGAGACAGGCAGCCCCUGACAUCAGGGAGCCACAUGGCACACCCAGCCUGGUCUUGGCGUUCUCCUGCUGAGCACAAAUGACGUCACAGAACAUCAGCAUCCGCAUCAGACUGUGCCCACCACAGAGUAAGACCAAAACCACCCAUGGCGCAUCUGAACACAGAUCAACCGAAGAACCAAGCCACAGAAUGACAAUCACCCACCAUCCUGGCUGACAGGAGUGCAUCCCCACCAGACUGUGCCAGGUGGUGGAGGGAAGAUCGCGCCUGAGGCGUGGCAGUUCUGCUGUCCCCCAGGGGAAGGUUGUCCUUAUCCCCUCGCUGGGUAUUCUGCCAACUUCUAGAGUGGACGAGCUCAUGUUCUGUUCCCUCUCUGCUAGUCAGGGCCUGGUUUUGUCCAUGUGCCUCCUCCAGGUUCAGAAGAGCAACUGAGUCCCCUGAGCCUCUGUCCUGUCCUUCAGCUGAUGCCGGUAGAAUCCAGUUCAGCCCCCCAGGGUGUGGCCUCAGCCACUGGUCCUGGCCACCUGGGAGCUUCCAGAGACUCAACGAUUCAAACCCAAAGCACUCUCUUUGACCAUGCCGCUGACCCUCUGAAAUAUGUUGGGCCACCUUAUGUCUGUCUAGCAUAGCCCCCUUUCAGUCAGAUCCGGGAAGGGGAAAUGAGAACCACAGCUUCCCAUAAACUUCUCCCAUGGGUGAGGAGGGGGGCCCACCUACUCUCUUUACAUUAAAGUCCAUGGCCUAAUAAUCAUCAUCAUGAUAAUGGCCUCAUAGUCCCGGCCUGGCUCUUAGUGUGCUAAUCCUUUCUUACAAUCCUGCCUCGUCUUGGAGAGUGCACUAGUUCUGUGAAAUCCUACUUUGAAUUUCAUAAGCUGAAAUUGCUUUCUUUUCUUUGGAUUCCCUCUGUUUUCAUGUUAAUUUCAACCCUGCUGUUUCUCUGGGAGCCAAGGCUGAAGGAUGCCACACUCAGGGGAAAACAAAAGAAAAAAAGCUUUAGUAAUUUCCAACUCUUCCUCUCAUUCCAUUUAUCCCUUUGUUCCUUAUAGUGGGAGGGUCUGCCAGCGUAUGGGACUAGAGCAAGUAUGAAUGUCAUCUAUGCAAAACACCCCACGGUGGUAGCACAUCAUUAUAUUAAAGUUAAAAGGCAGGGGCAAGGGAAAACAGCCCUGUUUUUCUUUUUCAAUUUGGUUAAGUUUUAUUUUCCUGAUUCAUCCAGGAGACCUUUUCUCUAUAACUCUGAAUAUAAUUAACCCAGGAGUUGCGUAUAAACAUCAGCAACCAAGGACCUCUGUAAAUUUAUGAAAAUUAAUUGCAGCAUGUGCUGUUGAUGGACCACCCCGUACCUACUUCCUGCCACACGCACACACCUGAGUGUCCCUGGAGCUUUCGCAGACAGAUCCCUGCCCACUGACAGCUUCCCAGCUGUGUCUCACUGGUUCUCUGCCCACGAGGUUGCUGGGCACUGCACCUCAGGUCUUGUUCAGCCCAAGCUCAAGAAGCCCAGAAAUUCUGGGAUCUAACACUGACACCACCUUUGCAAAAAUCAUCACAGUGAGAAAAUUAUGGCAGUGAAAGAGAUUUGACCCAACUGACUCCAUCUUGCUUCUAAUCUCCAAGCUGCCCUUGUUCAUUCCUGGGUGUAAGCUGACCUAACUUCAGGAGGAAUUUAGUUUACAGUUUAACGUUGAAACAAAGAUGAUAUCACCCCUUUCCUGAAACAAACCUCCUUCUUGCCUGGGGACCAGGCUACUUGUGUAAGACAAAAAAAUUAGCCGCAAGAUUAUAAAUUAUGGUUUAGGAGUCAUGCAGUCAGAGGCCACAAGAUUCCAAACCUCCUAGGAAUAAUAUCACUAUUGUAAAACCUACUGGUGCUUGAGAUAUUUUUCAGACCGUGCAUUCUAAUGCACCAUCUGGAGCCACCCAGGCCACUAAUUUGGCUCAACCAGUUCUGCAGUCCCACCCAGGAACAGAAGGCAGCAAGAACAACCCACCCACUUCGACCCCCUAAGAGUUCAUCUUCAACCUGACCCAUCAGCUCCCCCCAACUCCCUGGCCCCCUACCCACCAAAUUAUUUUUUAAAAACUCCAGUCUCUGAAUUUCUGGGGAGACUGAUUUGAGUAAUGAAACUUCAGUCUCCUGUUUAGCUGGCUCUGUGUGUAUUAAACUCUUUCUCUAUUGCAAUUCCCCCGUCUUGAUAAAUCGGCUCUGUCUGGGCAGUGGACAAGGAGAACCCGUUAGGUAGUUUGACACCUUUAGGAUAAACCCUCCACGAAUGAGGCAUGAGAAUUAGAGAUAAAUAUCCCAGCUUUCCUUCCAUCGGAGGGGCAGCCACUAAGCGUGUUCUGCAUGAUGCUGUGGGGCCGGCCUCAGCUGCCCAGUGGAGAUUUGCUCAGCAAACACCAUGAUUGCAUUUCCUUGCUUCUCAGUCUCACCUUCUCCACUCCCUCCUUCAUGCUUCUCAGGAUGAGCCCCCACCCCUCAAGUAACUCCUGCAUUCAAGUCUUUGUGACUGGAAGGUUCCAAACUAAGAUAUUAGCUGACAACAAGGACACAGUUGUCCUUGUUGCACAGUCAAUGAAUAAAGUACUGAACUUCAGGGGUUUAGGGCAGUGGUUUCUUUGUGGGGGGGGGUGGGCAAGGUGACUCAAAGCCCGUCUUCAUAAAAAACUUUGCAUAGAGCAAAAUUUUUAAGCUAGAAAAGUGGACAACCAAGAGAAGUAGACAACCAUGGUGCUCGAAAAGAAUUUGGGAGCAGAGCUACAGGCUCCCGUCUACACACCCCCCGACGGUCACUUCAUUUGACUCAUUGACCUCCCUUCUAUGUCACCCCACCCAGGCACUGAGGGAGAAGGGGAGAUUGUGAUCCCAGAGGAAGUCUAGCUCCAUACAGAAAGUGCACACUCAGCUGCUGUGUCUUUCGGGCCAUAGUCUCAGAACAUAAGUAAGGCUUUAGGUGGCUGGAUGGAGUGUGGAAAAUGAUCACUGUGGCUCUUAUAUGAAAGUACAGCACAAAAAGAGACACUUUAAAGAAAAUAGAAUGGUUUAGUAAAAUGCAAAAUAAUUUUUCAUCUUAAUGAUGGGCCUUUGCCUCUUUAGACAUGGUCAUUUCCUCAUGACUUUAUCAUCGUAUGAAAGCUCCCACUAGGAUAUUCCAUUAGGAGAUCCCAAUGUAUUUCUUAGAAUGAAACACAUUGAUCUGACAUCUUUGGCUUCCCUUCGGCACCUUCACUUUAACUUUGAAUUAGGUCUACUCUGACCUCUGGAACCUCCUCAGUGCAUGUAUUCUAAGAGGUGAGUCCAGUAUCACUCACAAGUCAUUGCAUACUAUACUGAUGAACUGUAGUUGCAAUGUGAAAUGAAGUCUGCUCUAGGGUCUGACAAUUUGGGGACACUUAAGGUCUUCCCACCUCCAUGGUGGUACUUAAACAAUUGGCCUUUCUUUCAAAGGAGGAUCCAUGAAAAUGUGCAGAAGCAUAAACAUUUGGAAACCCAGGAAGAGGCUUCCUUAGCCAUAAACAUAUUUCUUAGAGGGAGUGGCACAUCCUAGCAUCUAAUAAAGUGGGAGUGUCUGACGAGGAAAGCAGGCAGAGACCCAGGAUCCAUUAGGAAGAACAGUCUUAUGGGCCCACUCAUAGACGGCCCCCUUUCUUGAUUUUUUUAAAUUAGCUGCUUGUGUAGAGGAAGGAUUUGAUGUACAUGUUGCUACUGGAUAAUGACCACUCUCAAAUAUGUGGGGAAAUGAGAUGUUCCUCCAGCUGGCAGGAAGGCUACCAUGUCCAUGAGCAAGCCACGAGGAUCUGGCCAGGACUUAGAGUGUCGGGGUCAAGAAGGCAGAAGAAAACUCUCUGCAGCUGCAGUCAGGAGCAGGGCCUAACCCCUAUCCACAGAACCCCAGCUCUUGGUAUGCUCCACAUGGUAGGCAUGUGCCCUUAGAAAUGAAGAGGGCAACCCAUGAGCUUAAAAAGUAGGACAUGUUGUGGUUAGCUGGCCUAAAGAGAAAAAUUUAAAGCACUUUUCUCUUUCAAUUACAAAUGACUCCCUGAGACAAGCAGGGGUAGGAACAUUCAUCUUUGCUUCCUGUCCCAAGCCUCAGUUAUUUUUGUCUCAUUAGGACACCACCCCAUUGACUUUUACAGUCAAAAAUGAAACAGAG
rnacentral:lncRNA from 10 species